rnacentral:rRNA from 1 species
UACGAAGGGGGCUAGCGUUGUUCGGAAUCACUGGGCGUAAAGCGCAUGCAGGCGGAUUGCUAAGUCGGGGGUGAAAUCCCGAGGCUCAACCUCGGAACUGCCUUCGAUACUGGCAAUCUUGAGUCCGGGAGAGGUGAGUGGAACUGCGAGUGUAGAGGUGAAAUUCGUAGAUAUUCGCAAGAACACCAGUGGCGAAGGCGGCUCACUGGCCCGGUACUGACGCUGAGGUGCGAAAGCGUGGGGAGCAAACAGG